rnacentral:rRNA from 1 species
CCUACGGGCGGCAGCAGUGAGGAAUAUUGGUCAAUGGACGAGAGUCUGAACCAGCCAAGUCGCGUGAAGGAUGACUGCCCUAUGGGUUGUAAACUUCUUUUACAUGGGAAUAAAAUGCUCUACGUGUGGGGCAUUGUAUGUACCAUAUGAAUAAGGAUCGGCUAACUCCGUGCCAGCAGCCGCGGUAAUACGGAGGAUCCGAGCGUUAUCCGGAUUUAUUGGGUUUAAAGGGUGCGUAGGUGGGUUGUUAAGUCAGUUGUGAAAGUUUGGGGCUCAACCGUAAGAGUGCAGUUGAAACUGGCAGGCUUGAGUAGAGGAGAGGUACGCGGAAUGCGUGGUGUAGCGGUGAAAUGCUUAGAUAUCACGCAGAACCCCGAUUGCGAAGGCAGCUCACUGGACUGCAACUGACACUGAGGCUCGAAAGUGUGGGUAUCAAACAGGAUUAGAUACCCGAGUAGUC